CGUAAAGGGCGUCUAGGCGGUCUUUCAAGUCCGAUGCUAAAGACUGGGGCUCAACCCCAGGGGUGCGUUGGAUACUGUGAGGCUAGACGGUCGGAGGGGGUAGCGGAAUUUCCGGAGUAGCGGUGAAAUGCGCAGAUACCGGAAGGAACGCCAAUAGCGAAGGCAGCUACCUGGACGACUUGUGACGCUGAGGCGCGAAAGCGUGGGGAGCAAACCGGAUUAGAUACCCGGGUAGUCCACGCCCUAAACCAUGAGUGCUGGGUGUCCGGCUUCUGCUGGGUGCCGUAGCUAACGCGCUAAGCACUCCGCCUGGGAAGUACGCACGCAAGUGUGAAACUCAAAGGAAUUGACGGGGGCCCGCACAAGCGGUGGAGCAUGUGGUUUAAUUCGAAGCGACGCGAAGAACCUUACCAGGCCUUGACAUGCCCGGAACCCCUCUGAAAGGAGGGGGUGCCCGCAAGGGAGCCGGGACACAGGUGCUGCAUGGCCGUCGUCAGCUCGUGUCGUGAGAUGUUGGGUUAAGUCCCGCAACGAGCGCAACCCCUAUCCCUAGUUGCCAGCAGUUCGGCUGGGCACUCUAUGGAGACUGCCUGCGAAAGCAGGAGGAAGGCGGGGAUGACGUCUGGUCCGCAUGGCCCUUACGGCCUGGGCGACACACGUGCUACAAUGCCAAGGACAGAGCGCUGCUACCUCGCGAGAGGACGCCAAUCGCAAAAACCUUGGCUCAGUUCGGAUUGGAGUCUGCAACUCGACUCCAUGAAGCCGGAAUCG
rnacentral:rRNA from 1 species